AUAGUAGGCAGCAGUGGGGAAUAUUGCGCAAUGGGCGAAAGCCUGACGCAGCCAUGCCGCGUGUGUGAAGAAGGCCUUCGGGUUGUAAAGCACUUUUAGUGGGGAGGAAAGGGGGGGAUCUUCGGACCUUCUGCUAUCGGGGGAGCCUGCGUCGGAUUAGCUAGUUGGUAGGGUAAAGGCCUACCAAGGCGACGAUCCGUAGCUGGUCUGAGAGGAUGAUCAGCCACACCGGAACUGAGACACGGUCCGGACUCCUACGGGAGGCAGCAGUGGGGAAUAUUGCGCAAUGGGCGAAAGCCUGACGCAGCCAUGCCGCGUGUGUGAAGAAGGCCUUCGGGUUGUAAAGCACUUUUAGUGGGGAGGAAAGGGCGCUGGCUAAUAUCCAGCGCAGUUGACGCUACCCACAGAAAAAGCACCGGCUAAUUCCGUGCCAGCAGCCGCGGUAAUACGGAAGGUGCAAGCGUUAAUCGGAAUUACUGGGCGUAAAGCGCGCGUAGGCGGCUUGGUAAGUCGGAUGUGAAAGCCCCGGGCUCAACCUGGGAACUGCAUUCGAUACUGCUGGGCUGGAGUACGAGAGAGGGGGGUGGAAUUCCAGGUGUAGCGGUGAAAUGCGUAGAGAUCUGGAGGAACAUCGGUGGCGAAGGCGGCCCCCUGGCUCGAUACUGACGCUGAGGUGCGAAAGCGUGGGGAGCAAACAGGAUUAGAUACCCUGGUAGUCCACGCUGUAAACGAUGUCUGCUAGCCGUUGGGAUCCUUGAGGUCUCGGUGGCGCAGCUAACGCGAUAAGCAGACCGCCUGGGGAGUACGGCCGCGAGGUUAAAACUCAAAUGAAUUGACGGGGGCCCGCACAAGCGGUGGAGCACGUGGUUUAAUUCGAUGCAACGCGAAGAACCUUACCAGGUCUUGACA
rnacentral:rRNA from 1 species